rnacentral:rRNA from 1 species
UUAAAUCAGUUAUCGUUUAUUUGAUAGUACCUUACUACAUGGAUACCUGUGGUAAUUCUAGAGCUAAUACAUGCUAAAAACCCCGACUUCGGGAGGGGUGUAUUUAUUAGAUAAAAAACCAAUGCCCUUCGGGGCUCCUUGGUGAAUCAUAAUAACUUAACGAAUCGCAUGGCCUUGCGCCGGCGAUGGUUCAUUCAAAUUUCUGCCCUAUCAACUUUCGAUGGUAGGAUAGUGGCCUACCAUGGUAGCAACGGGUAACGGGGAAUUAGGGUUCGAUACCGGAGAGGGAGCCUGAGAAACGGCUACCACAUCCAAGGAAGGCAGCAGGCGCGCAAAUUACCCAAUCCCGAUUCGGGGAGGUAGUGACAAUAAAUACUGAUACAGGGCUCUUUUGGGUCUUGUAAUUGGAAUGAGUACAAUUUAAAUCCCUUAACGAGGAACAAUUGGAGGGCAAGUCUGGUGCCAGCAGCCGCGGUAAUUCCAGCUCCAAUAGCGUAUAUUAAAGUUGUUGCAGUUAAAAAGCUCGUAGUUGAACCUUGGGCCUGGCUGGCCGGUCCGCCUCACCGCGUGUACUGGUCCGGCCGGGCCUUUCCUUCUGGGGAGCCGCAUGCCCUUCACUGGGCGUGUCGGGGAACCAGGACUUUUACUGUGAAAAAA